rnacentral:rRNA from 1 species
AGUCGAGCGAAUGGAUUAAGAGCUUGCUCUUAUGAAGUUAGCGGCGGACGGGUGAGUAACACGUGGGUAACCUGCCCAUAAGACUGGGAUAACUCCGGGAAACCGGGGCUAAUACCGGAUAACAUUUUGAACCGCAUGGUUCGAAAUUGAAAGGCGGCUUCGGCUGUCACUUAUGGAUGGACCCGCGUCGCAUUAGCUAGUUGGUGAGGUAACGGCUCACCAAGGCAACGAUGCGUAGCCGACCUGAGAGGGUGAUCGGCCACACUGGGACUGAGACACGGCCCAGACUCCUACGGGAGGCAGCAGUAGGGAAUCUUCCGCAAUGGACGAAAGUCUGACGGAGCAACGCCGCGUGAGUGAUGAAGGCUUUCGGGUCGUAAAACUCUGUUGUUAGGGAAGAACAAGUGCUAGUUGAAUAAGCUGGCACCUUGACGGUACCUAACCAGAAAGCCACGGCUAACUACGUGCCAGCAGCCGCGGUAAUACGUAGGUGGCAAGCGUUAUCCGGAAUUAUUGGGCGUAAAGCGCGCGCAGGUGGUUUCUUAAGUCUGAUGUGAAAGCCCACGGCUCAACCGUGGAGGGUCAUUGGAAACUGGGAGACUUGAGUGCAGAAGAGGAAAGUGGAAUUCCAUGUGUAGCGGUGAAAUGCGUAGAGAUAUGGAGGAACACCAGUGGCGAAGGCGACUUUCUGGUCUGUAACUGACACUGAG